rnacentral:rRNA from 1 species
UCUCUCCUGGAAACGGGUGGUAAUGCCGGAUGUUCCACAUGAUCGCAUGUGAUUGUGGGAAAGAUUCUAUCGGCGUGGGAUGGGGUCGCGUCCUAUCAGCUUGUUGGUGAGGUAACGGCUCACCAAGGCUUCGACGGGUAGCCGGCCUGAGAGGGCGACCGCCCACAUUGGGACUGAGAUACGGCCCAGACUCCUACGGGAGGCAGCAGUGGGGAAUAUUGCACAAUGGGCGCAAGCCUGAUGCAGCGACGCCGCGUGAGGGAUGGAGGCCUUCGGGUUGUAAACCUCUUUUGUUUGGGAGCAACCCUUCGGGUGAGUGUACCUUUCGAAUAAGCGCCGGCUAACUACGUGCCAGCAGCCGCGGUAAUACGUAGGGCGCAAGCGUUAUCCGGAUUUAUUGGGCGUAAAGGGCUCGUAGGCGGCUCGUCGCGUCCGGUGUGAAAGUCCAUCGCUUAACGGUGGAUCUGCGCCGGGUACGGGCGGGCUGGAGUGCGGUAGGGGAGACUGGAAUCCCGGUACCGAAG